UUUAAAGUUUAUUUAACUUGAACCAUGCUAAAAAAUGUUAUGGAUGCCAGUUCGUUCGGUCGUACGGUCGCGUUUUUCACUUAAUUACGACGAAUGUUCGAACGGGCGCGAAAACAAUCUAGAUUUCGCAACGGAUGGAAACAAGUUUUGAGCCGGUGAUACACUACGGGAAACGAGAAAGUCAAUGACAAUGAUAGCCGGUUUUGGAGGAUUUGUC
rnacentral:lncRNA from 1 species